rnacentral:rRNA from 1 species
UUAGGAGUCUGAAAGGCAAAACCGUCAGACAAUCCGAAGACGUGAUGCGCAGCGAACUGAAGUAGCGAAGCUUCGGCCCCUAACUGCCAAGAAAAGCCGCUAUUGUUUGCAUGACACCCGUACCGUAAACCGACACAGGUGGAUGAGGAGAGAAUCCUAAGGCCGACGGGAGAAGCAUUGUUAAGGAACUCGGCAAAAUGACCCCGUAACUUCGGGAGAAGGGGUGCCUCGAAAGAGGCCGCAGAGAAUUGGCCCAAGCAACUGUUUAGCAAAAACACAGGUCUAUGCAAAACCGAAAGGUGAGGUAUAUGGGCUGACGCCUGCCCGGUGCUGGAAGGUUAAGAGGAGAGCUUACCGCAAGCGAAGGUUUGAAUUUAAGCCCCAGUAAACGGCGGCCGUAACAAUAACGGUCCUAAGGUAGCGAAAUUCCUUGUCGGGUAAGUUCCGACCCGCACGAAAGGCGUAAUGAUUUGGGCGCUGUCUCGACAAUGCACCCGGUGAAAUUGAAGUACCAGUGAAGAUGCUGGUUACCCGCGCCAGGACGGAAAGACCCCAUGGAGCUUUACUCUAGCUUGAUACUGGGAUUCGGUAUUGUCUGUACAGGAUAGGUGGGAGGCUAUGAACCGUGGACGCCAGUCUGCGGGGAGCCGCUGUUGGGAUACCACCCUUACAAUACUGGAUUUCUAACCUGCCGCCAUGACCUGGCGGAGGGACAAUGUCUGGUGGGGAGUUUGACUGGGGCGGUCGCCUCCGAAAGAGUAUCGGAGGCGCUCAAAGGUCCUCUCAGGAUGGACGGAAACCAUCCGAAGAGUGCAAAGGCAUAAGAGGGCUUGACUGUGACACCGACGGGUGGAGCAGGUACGAAAGUAGGACUUAGUGAUCCGGUGGUAGAAAGUGGGAUUGCCGUCGCUCAACGGAUAAAAGCUACCCUGGGAUAACAGGCUUAUCACUCCCAAGAGUUCACAUCGACGGAGUGGUUUGGCACCUCGAUGUCGGCUCAUCGCAUCCUGGGGCUGUAGCAGGUCCCAAGGGUUGGGCUGUUCGCCCAUUAAAGCGGUACGCGAGCUGGGUUCAGAACGUCGUGAGACAGUUCGGUCCCUAUCCGGCGCGGGCGUAGGAUAUUUGAGAGGAGCUGUCCUUAGUACGAGAGGACCGGGAUGGACGAACCGCUGGUGGAUCGGUUGCAUUAUCAAGUGCAUGGCCGAGUAGCCAAGUUCGGAAGGGAUAAACGCUGAAGGCAUCUAAGCGUGAAGCCCCCCUCAAGAUGAGAUAUCCCAUUCUUUAAAAGAAGUAAGACCCCUUGAAGACCACGAGGUAGAUAGGGCAGAGGUGGAAGUACGGUAACGUAUGGAGCUGACUGUCACUAAUCGGUCGAGGGCUUGACC